rnacentral:lncRNA from 1 species
GCUUAAGUACUACCCAGAUUGCACUCCUGCCUGUCACCUGCAGAAGAGGGUCUGCCCCAUGUGUCCAUCCUUGUCGCACCUGACUCCUUCAACAGAGGGGGCUGUCAGUGUCAACUACAGGUGCUUUCACAAGAAGUUGGCUAAACCUGUGAUGGAGCCUUGCGUUCCAUAUUCUGGCUGUCUUGCAUAAAAGUCUUCUAGCAAUCUUUCCAUGUUAUGGGCUGUGAAGAAACUUCAUAUUUCAAAGAGGCAAGAGACCACUCACCUGUGACUAGAAAGCAACUUUAAAAGUUGAAAUUUCUUUCCAAGUCCCUUCUUGAAAUGUGUGUGAAAUGUACAUGUCUAGCUAUGAGGAUAAACCAGCUGAGUGUCUGCACACACAAACUGCAAGGAAGAUGUGUU